ensembl:lncRNA
AUUGUAUUCACAUUUUAUUUUAUAGAAAGAGGAAAUGACCAAUACAGACUAUAGCCAUGAAAAGGCUAAUCUAAUACGUGAGAAGGUAAGUGUUAUUACUGGUUUGAUACAACAGAACACAAUAAUAUGUGUGACCCUAGCUGGCAGUGGUGGAGUUAUUAGAUGAUGACCUUGUAAUGAACCCAAUGUUGAUAUUUUAUUCACAUUUUUAUUGUAUUGAAAAAGGAAACAAAGGAACAGAAGAUGAAGUUAACUGUACCUACUACUGACUGUCCUGAACCAACCAGGGACCAACAAGAACAUACCACAACUACCCCUGAUGCAACUAUGGAUGAUCAUGAUGGUGACCAGAGUCUGGGUCCAGCCCCUCCCUUAAGCCCCACACAAGAUGGAUCUGUGUCAGUCUCAGUCCAUCAGGAGGACCAUCAGCCUGUCCCCAUCAAGAGAGACCAUGGAGCCUCCCAGUCCACCCUCCUCAGUCUGGGUCCCCUCCCCUCCCCUCCCGGUCCACCCUCCUCAGUCUGGGUCCCCCUCCCC